rnacentral:lncRNA from 1 species
CAAUGGAAAUCAAUAAAAAGAUAAACUCUUAAAACACACAAAUUUGUUUUAAGUGGAUUCGGUACCCCGAGGCUCAUUAUCUCUCUUUUGGGGCUCCUAAUGAAGUAAUCUCCAGAAUCUAUUCAAGGGAUAUUCGGAGAUUAGCUGAAUCCUACUCAAGAACAAAUUGACAGAUUUUCUCUCUAAAAACCAAAAUUUCAGUUCAAUAACUUCAAAGCAUUAAAAGGAAAUUCAAAGAAUCAAAACAAAGUAGAAUGCAUAUGUUGAGGGGGAGAAUCUGAAUUUUUAAGAAAGCUAAAUCAUUAAAUAUAUAUAAGCCAAACAAUUGAUUGCAUGAUAUGAAGGCUUAUAUAAUUCCAAAUGAAAGGGGGAGCUUUAACUCCGAAAUUUAUUGUUUCACUCCUUUCAAGCUUGGAUAAAUUGAACUACCAGACAUUUGAAUUCAUUUAUGGAUUUUAUUUUAUUGUUUAUUGUGCAAUUCACUUUACAUAUACUCAAUGUUUUGUCAUCAUCAAAAAGGGGGAGAUUGUGGAGUGAUUCAUUAAAACCC